ensembl:lncRNA
CUUUGAAAGUUGCUCAGUAGAUUCCACAGAAUCACAAAAUUGUAGGAGCUGGAAAGGACCUCCAGAGAUCAUCAAAAUAAGCUCAGUGUAGCAUGAUUCAUAGCGUACUGUUGAUACCCUGCACCUUCUGCUUAAAAUAAGGACUCCUUCCAAUUAUGAAAAAUAUCAUAUUAAUUGAGCUACAUUUUGCAUGAUUAUUCCCUGGGAAGAUGAGAACUUCUUGCUUCACUGUACCGUAAGAAUUCAUCUGGAACAGAUCCAAUUAGGAGUGACUUUAUGGUAUACAGAGACACUGGUCUGAUGAAUUUCUAAUGUCAAACAUAUAUGCUUUACAGCAGCAUUUAUUGGUAGCUAGCACUACUCACAUCUAGUUCCAAAAGUCUGUCUCAGGUACUGCAAUUGGUGGAUGGAAUAAGGACUUGUUAUGGGAGUCUUUUGGAGUGUAGCAAGCAAUACCUAUGUACAAAUAGUUACAAGAUUUGAAGCUCCAAAACAGCAAGCCAGCGAGGAUGAUUAUCUCAUUCAUUUCCUGUAGUUGCUGACAAGUUGGUCCAAUGGACACUCACAUAGGAACAGAAAGAAGACUAUAUGCAAGUUUCUCAGGACCUAUGGAACAAAUAAGAGGUUGCAGGUGGAAGUUUCCUGGAUUGCAUCAUUACCAGUGAUGACAUGUGGUGUCACCCCUAAGAGCUGGAGUCAAAACAGUAGUCCAUGAAGUGCCAGCACGUGAAUUCCCAUCAAGAAAAAAAGUACAAGAGUCAACCUCAGCAGGUCAUCAAUAAAGAUAUUAAAGAGGACAGGCCCCAGCACCGACCCCUGGGGAACACCACUCGUGACCGGUCACCAGCUGGAUUUAACUCUGUUCACUACCACUCUCUGGGCCCAGCCCUCCAGACAGUUCCU